rnacentral:lncRNA from 1 species
GAGGAGGAGUGUCACAUGUUGCAGAAAGAGAUCGCUCACCUGCAGCACUGUCUGGAAAUGGAGCAGAUGCAGGUUCACCAGCCCUCCAAGGAAGCCCUAAUGCCCACCCUGGGAGAGAUAAAGGAUCAGAAGAAGGCAAUGGAACAGGAGCUACAGAUCUCUCUGGGGCCUUCCUAUUCAGCUGCCAAGCACAGGCAGAAGUCUUUGAGGCCAUCCAUUCCCGGCCCUAGACCCCUUCCUUGUCUCCAUGGCUACAUGCCUACACCUCCUUCGGAGCGCUGCCCCCACCCUCAAGGUCAGGCAAGCACCCGCCGCUGGGGCCGGCAACUUCGGUACAGCUAUUGCAAAGAGACAGCUUCCACAUCAGUUUCCAGUGCAGCAUCCCAGGCACCGACCUGAAGGGCUGCUCACAAAACAGGCUUCUGCUUCUGCUG